rnacentral:rRNA from 1 species
ACGGAAGGCAGCAGUGAGGAAUAUUGGUCAAUGGUCGGAAGACUGAACCAGCCAAGUAGCGUGCGGGAUGACGGCCCUAUGGGUUGUAAACUGCUUUUGUGCGGGAAUAACGGUCUCCUCGUGAGGGGAUGUGCAUGUACCGUACGAAUAAGGAUCGGCUAACUCCGUGCCAGCAGCCGCGGUAAUACGGAGGAUCCGAGCGUUAUCCGGAUUUAUUGGGUUUAAAGGGAGCGUAGGCGGAAGAUCAAGUCAGCUGUGAAAUGUAGACGCUCAACGUAUGGACUGCAGUUGAAACUGGUUGUCUUGAGUGCGUAAGGGGAAGGCGGAAUUCGUCGUGUAGCGGUGAAAUGCUUAGAUAUGACGAAGAACGCCGAUCGCGAAGGCAGCUUGCCGGGCCGCAACUGACGCUGAAGCUCGAAGGUGCGGGUAUCGAACAGGAUUAGAUACCCUGGUA